UAGUAGCUAUUAUUUGGGGGGAGAAUGAGUAUCUCUCAGAACACUCCAUAUAUGGCCUAUAAAGAAUAAAGAACUUACCACACCAUUCCAGAAUGUCACAUUUAUUCCACUACUCGACUGUCUGGGUUAGGACAAAGUUCAGGUGACGGUCCUACCACGCCGCCUCCCUUUCUGGUUUUUGAAUUGAAUGAUGACAAGGAGACCUCUCUCAUUCUGAAUAUUUAGACAGGCCACAUUUAUCUUAUCCAGUCUCUUUACUCAGCAGCUAGGUAUACUGGCACUGAGGCAAUCUACACAACCAAAAUAUUAAAUUCAACCUUGGCUAAUUUGGUAGUUAAGGGACAAACUUCUUUAGGCUUUUCAUGGAGGACAAAAACCUUUUUACUUCUUUCUUUGUGUGCCUGUUUGCAUGCGGAGAAGGAAUUACUGUCACAAAUGCCGGCUUUUAAAACACCAACGUGGGAAGAUAGCUAACAUCGUCCUGAAAAGGUGGUGUUCCUGGGGGCCGUGCUUUGGAAAAAGCUUAUAGUUCGAAAAUCACUAGACAUCCUCCUCCUGACUCCUGGAGCAUUCUGGAGAGUAUGAGUUGAAGAAUCUCAACUUCACAGUGCUCUGGGUCCACGCCCCAAACACAAGAAAAAGUACUGGGAGAGAUUCUGACUGCAGCCAGGGUUAGGAGCCUCCAAACUAGACCAAACCUUCCUCCUUUGCCAAAACAUCUGAUGCAUUCCCAUCUGCAGCUGUGGCUCACUGAAGUGAUCCUCAUGGCAAAAUUGGUCAUGUAAAGUAGGAGUCAUUGAUCUUCUAGACCAGCGGCUUCAACAAAGGGCAAUCUGGCUCCCAGCCCUGGCUGAAAGGGGUCUCUUCUUAUGUUACUGAUGGGAUCAUGAGAAGACAAAAGCACAAGAAAAUGAAGUACGCCGGAAUGAGAGCCUGAGCAUCACGUGGUUGUGAGACCUCCGUGUGGAGGAAAAGGCCGUGUCUCUUCACUAAUCUGUGUUCAGGGAAAAUGACACAUGGCCAAGUUGGAAAAGAUUUACUCUUGGAGAGCAGUUCCUCUGAUCAACAACGUCCAUGGGGAACUUCCCUAAGAUCUGGGAGUAGACUGAUAAGUGAAAGUCCUGUGGAGGUGAACAGUUUUGUCAAGACUUCUGGGGAAUGUGUGGCUUGUGGAGGUGAAGUUGGGCAAACCAGCUAAUGCUCACCAGCUCCUUUUGGCCCCAGUGGACAUUCUGGAUCAGCCUCUAGAGUCUUUAGCCAGAAUCUUCAAGCCUCUACACGCACCCCAUCAACCCAGUGCUAGCCCAUCUCCUUUACAUCUCCCUGUAUCAGCCUUCACAGGGUUAACCAACACCCCAGUGGCCCAGGUGAGCCUUACUUAUAAAGCAAUUGCUAGCCAUAUAUGUUCUCCUACUAUCAUCACAACCCCUUCUUAUUCAUUGCUAAUAACAUUUACUUACUACCACCCCCCCCCCAAAUGUAUUUACCAACCACCUACUACGUUCCUGGCAUUGGGAAUGCAAGGAUAGAGGAGUGAAUGAAAUCAGCUCAUUGGCCCAGCUUCCACAGACCUGUUGACUGGUUCUGGAAAGAAAACUGGACGCAUGAGAACAGAAAGACAGCUGGAUGCGAUUUUAGGGGAAGUUCAUACAAAGAGGUAUGAGGUUGUACAGCAGUGAGAACCGUCCAAAUACAGGUAGUGACACCAGGAGGAAAGGCGAAGCGAUUUGCUUAAGGUCCUGUAUUAAUUUUCCAGGGCAGCAGUAACAAAUGAGCACACACCAGAUGGCUGAAGCCAACAGAACUUUAUUCCCUCACAGUUGAGGAGGCCAGAAGUCUGAAGUCAAGGUGUCGGUAGGGCCAUACUGCCUGUGGAGGCGCCAAGGGAGAUUCCUUCCUCACCUCUUCUUGGCUUUGGGGGUCUCCACCACCCAAACCCUGCCUCCAUUGUCAGCUGGCCUUCUUCCUGGUGUGCGUCCCUCUCUCUAAAGCUCCCUCUCCUGAUAAGAACACCAAGUCACUGGAUUUGGAGCCCCCCCAAUCUAGUACGACUUCAUUUUAACUUGAUUGUAUCUGUAAAGACCUCAUGUCCAAAAGGUCAUAUUCACAGGCACCGGAGGAUAAGACACGAACGUGUUCAACCCACAACAGGGCACGCAGUCAACUAACACAGACCCACGGCUACCAUGAAAGAUUCAUGACUCAACCGACAAAAUCAAAAAAGGACCACCGCCAACAAUGUGACUUCUAAAAUAAAUAUCAAUCAAUUCCCCACCGCCGCUUUUAAGGGACACCGUGGCUCUUCUAGUUUGACAUCUUGUUGGAGUAAAAGUUGACACGACCGUGCACUUGUAACACGGUUAUACUUCGUUAACACCACGUAGGGCACUGGGUGUGGCGUAUUAUCUGCAACACGGAUUUACAGUUGGCUGACUACCCUCCCAGAGUCCAAAAGAUACUGCAAACACAUUGUUUCCCCGUCUUUCACGGAGACUGCAAACCGGCUACGUGCCCGGGUGUGACCUUCCUUCACAGGCUGCUUCCCCUGCGUCACACCGCGGUCACCCGAGGGCUGUGCUCACUCUGGAGCACCCAGCUGCACCCCAGAAGCGGAUGUCAGGCCCAAGACCUGAGACUUAUUCAAGGUUCCAUCUGCAGAGGACGUGGGCGGACGCUUAGGGGAAGGAAGGCCUUGGCUCCUUCUGAUUUUCAAAGCUGAAGCUUUUAGAGGGCAAACACACCUCCGUGCUUAGCCCUAAUGUGCUUUCCUGCCACCUGCCCCACCCUCACCACCCAAAAUUUUCCCAUCUUUUGAUCAGUCUCACCAGAGACUCCCAGAAGCUCUGCCAGGGGUGAUGUAGGUACGUGGAAAAGGGGCAGAGACCAAAGCAAGCCCAUCUUGCCUGGUGUAUAAAGUUCUAAGCGUUGGGAGAUAAUGAACUGUAGUCACGGGAUUUACUUAAACGUCCCCCCCCCCCCCCAUCUGAGAAAGAAAGAGAGGGAGAGAGAGCGUGUAAGUGAGCUUCAAACCCUCCGAGUGUUCUCUGAACGACGCAGAAGGAGGCGGGAAAAAGAUGUUCGGGUUUAAUUCCUGCAUUAUAAUGAAAGCAGCUGCCCUGCAUGUGUCAUUAUUUUCCCAUUAUCUUAAUGCCUUGGUUAAUGAAGAUUUUGAGAGCCUGCUCCUGCAGCGAGGAGAGCUGAGCAGCUAGACUCUCUCCUCCCCAGUGCGGACACAGACUCAGCUUCUCUGCAGACCCUUCUCUUCCCCACGCCCAGCUCAGCGGUGCCGUCCAGGGGGCCACGCGUCGGCCCGGGAGCAGGAGGCCACUCCCGUCCCACCCCCGUGGCUCCUCCCCACGUGGCGUCUCACUUGCAGCGGGAUUGCCGAGGCAGCCCGUUUGGGGGGCACCCUCGGUGCGCACGGUGGCUGCUUGUGGACAUAAGGAUGGGGACAGCGCGUGCAUGACACAGCACACGGGGGCCACACUUCCCUCUGUGUGACAGGACAUGCAGUGGUUAGACGCGUGCUCGUUUUCGGACUCCAUCCUUUGCUGCAUAGAAAUAGCCUCGUCGGAAUUGCCAGCUUGGCUCUUUCUGCCCUUACCCCCGCUGCCUGAUUUCUGAGAGCAGAGAGGGCAAAAUCCAUGCAAAGCCUCCUGAGAAGAGAGCCCAGACAGGUAGCUCCACGGGGGACGGAAAGAUGUAACUGGGGCAAAUGGGUCAUGGUGGGAGGCAAGCAGGGACAGUUGCAGGAACAGACCCAGAUGGACGGUUUCGAGGGCGCUGUGGCUUUAGGAGAGUGAGAAAGCUCUGAAAAGCAGGGUGGGCAGAGAAGAAAACAAAGAGAAGUCACAGUUGUUGUGGGCUUUACCCUUGGAGCCCAGUGCGUGGCUGAGAGAGAGCUACGUGAAAUUAAACCCCCCACGAGGACUGCAGGUCUUCAGAUGUGGAAAUUCCAAUGAACGGGACCACGCGGGUCCCAGUUUCAUGAGCCCAAUAUCUCGUGCGUUGACUGUUCCGGGCCCAUCUACUCUCCUGGCACUGAAACUCAUUAGAAGGGGCGAGAACAUAAAAUUCUAGACUUUCAGAGGAUGAAGACACAUUAGAUAUGAUCCAGUCUAACAUCCCACUUAAUUCAGGGAACAUUCACUGUCCCCUCGCCUAGCUUCUGCUGGAAGGGGCCCACUAACGCAAACCUCAGGUCCAGUUUAGAGCCAGCCGCCUUAUCCCAAAGCUCAAGACUCGUGUCAGAAGGUGUCGCUUCCAGACAUUUGUGACCAUUGAACCCUUGUUCCCAGAGUCUCAGGUCCCCCACCUGGAGAAAGGUUACCUCAGUACCUCUCUCAGGUCUGUAAAGGGCCUAAAUGGCACGAUGAAUGUGGACGCACUCCAGAGAGACACUGCAGAUUCUGAGUAUAGCCUUGUGACCCAGCGCUCUUGAGUGGUGGGGCUGUACGUUGACCAAAUACCUAGUCGGUUUUGGGGGCCGGGGGGUAGGGAAGAAGACCAGUGUGGAAACAUAAAUAAAAUAAGUGAUCUGACAGAGCUCUGGCUUGAAAGUAAGUUCUUCUGACAUGCUAAUACACACUAUCUUUCAUUGAUUUGGAGAAAGCAUUUUCAAAAGCCUACCUACCAGGUGGAGAGAAGCUUAGACGUCCAACACUAUUAAAAUCAAAGUCAUUCUUGAGGUGGCUCAAUUGGUUAAGCAUCUGACUCUUGAUUUUCAGUUCAGGUCAUGAUCUCACAGUUCAUGAGUUCGAGCC